UCGAGCGGAUGAGUGGAGCUUGCUCCAUGAUUCAGCGGCGGACGGGUGAGUAAUGCCUAGGAAUCUGCCUGGUAGUGGGGGAUAACGUUUCGAAAGGAACGCUAAUACCGCAUACGUCCUACGGGAGAAAGUGGGGGAUCUUCGGACCUCACGCUAUCAGAUGAGCCUAGGUCGGAUUAGCUAGUUGGUGGGGUAAUGGCCCACCAAGGCGACGAUCCGUAACUGGUCUGAGAGGAUGAUCAGUCACACUGGAACUGAGACACGGUCCAGACUCCUACGGGAGGCAGCAGUGGGGAAUAUUGGACAAUGGGCGAAAGCCUGAUCCAGCCAUGCCGCGUGUGUGAAGAAGGUCUUCGGAUUGUAAAGCACUUUAAGUUGGGAGGAAGGGCAGUAAGUUAAUACCUUGCUGUUUUGACGUUACCAACAGAAUAAGCACCGGCUAACUUCGUGCCAG
rnacentral:rRNA from 1 species